AGAGUUUGAUCCUGGCUCAGGAUGAACGCUGGCGGCGUGCUUGAUACAUGCAAGUCGAACGGAGAGUGUAGCAAUAUACUUUUAGUGGCGAACGGGUGAGUAACGCGUUGGUGACCUGCCCCGAAGCGAGGGAUAACAGUUCGAAAGAACUGCUAAUACCUCAUGUGAUCACCGGUUUUAGAAUCUGGUGAUUAAAGGUGAAAAUCACUUCGGGAGGGGCCUGCGUCCCAUCAGCUAGUUGGUAAGGUAAUGGCUUACCAAGGCGAUGACGGGUAGGGGACCUGAGAGGGUGGCCCCCCACAAUGGAACUGAAACACGGUCCAUACACCUACGGGUGGCAGCAGUAGGGAAUAUUGCAAAUGGGCGAAAGCCUGAUGUAGCAACGCCGCGUGUGCGAUGAAGGUCUUCGGGUUGUAAAGCACUUUUGAGAAGGAUGAGAAAGGACAGUACUUUUCGAAUAAGUCUCGGCUAACUACGUGCCAGCAGCCGCGGUAACACGUAGGGUGCGAGCGUUAAUCGGAAUUACUGGGCGUAAAGCGUGCGCAGGCGGUUUUUUAAGACAGGCGUGAAAUCCCCGGGCUCAACCUGGGAACUGCGCUUGUGACUGCUAAGCUAGAGUACGGCAGAGGGGGGUGGAAUUCCACGUGUAGCAGUGAAAUGCGUAGAGAUGUGGAGGAACACCGAUGGCGAAGGCAGCCCCCUGGGCCGAUACUGACGCUCAUGCACGAAAGCGUGGGUAGCAAACAGGAUUAGAUACCCUGGUAGUCCACGCCCUAAACGAUGUCAACUAGGUGUUGGGAGGGUAAAACCUUUUAGUACCGGAGCUAACGCGUGAAGUUGACCGCCUGGGGAGUACGGCCGCAAGGUUAAAACUCAAAGGAAUUGACGG
rnacentral:rRNA from 1 species